ensembl:snoRNA
GUGGCCCUGAAUCAAGGCCAGCAGUUUGUUGUAGCUGCUGGUUUCAAACAGGAGCCUAAAGAGAAACCUUUGUAGAUCCUGGUAGCCAUUUCAGAACUUUGGACAUGUAAGGGUCAAUUUAUUAGAAAGAAAUAGCU